rnacentral:lncRNA from 1 species
ACGAGGACCUUCUUCCAUUUCAGUGGUGCUGUGUUGAGUCUCCUCUGUGUUGGCUUUACCACCAGAAGAGACCAAAGGAUAACUGUCAGGAUUCUAGUUCAGGUGGCUUCAGCAGCACCGUUGCUCCUCUGCUUUCCAGGAAGGGAGUUCAGGGAACUGGUGAGGAAUCCCUGUGAACAAGAAUUAGAAAAACGCCACUUAUUGCUUCAGCUUCACGAUCUGUGUGGUAUGAUUGCAGCGAUGGUGUACGGGAGCUUACAUUUCAUCACCUUCGAUGGAACCAAGUACUCAUUUCAGGCUCUGGGAGAGUUCGUGUUGUUGCGUCUGUCCUCUGCCAGCGGCUCGAAUAUCUUCACCCUACAAGGGCUGCUGGGAAAGCUGCUGACGGCAUCAAAAGAGGUCAUCGACGUCCCGGUGGUGGUGCGCAUGGCUGCCUUCCACCAAGGCACUGGCAAGGUCGGGAUGAGUGUGAGCUGAGCAAACAGUGGCGCUUCAGGAAUGUGAUCCCAAUCACGCUGAAAGAUUUUUAUGUGUUUAACACACCGUGCAGGACUCUCGACGGGGACGGAGAGUCUGAGCUUCGUUCCUGCAGCACCAGAUUCAAUCAUCUCAGAUGACACAAACUUUAAUCUCUAAUUUCCACGUUCCGUUUUCAGAUUGAAUGGAGGUGUUCUUCUGACACAAACGGUGCUCUUCGGAUGUUUGUGGAUGAUGUUGAAGUCCCAGUGAAAAUUGGUGUCGUGUACACGAGCGAGAAGAACUUUGUUGUACGCUGCAUCUCAGUAAGUCGCUGUGCGGCCGUCUAUGCCAGCGGUCUCCAUGUGGUCACGUGGCUAAACGUGGACUACUGUCAGAUGGGCGCCAUGGUGGAGGUCUCUCAGAACUUCUACAAUCGUACCGUGGGCCUCAUGGGCUUCUGGAGCUCCAACCGCAUUGAUGAUUUCCUCCUGUCAGACGGCAGGGUCUUCCCCUCGCAGGACCUCAACCCCCCCACGGAGGAGAAGCUGCAGGACUUUGGCCUAUCCUGGUCAGUCCCAGUGCCCGAAAGCCUGCUGUUGUCAUCGCCUCCAAAGGCUCCACAGGCUCUGACCACCACCAAGGCCACAUUGGAGAGGUUUAGCCCUGCUGUGGUGGCGGAGCAGAUGAAGGCCUGUAAAGACAGUGUGCAGUGUGUGUAUGACUCUCUAGCAUCUGGGAUCGCAGACCUGGGCCAGCAAACUCUGGAUGCUGAGGCACAGUUCCAGACCCUGGCUCAGAUUUACGGCAACGAUCCUCCUGUUGUUACGGAGCCCAAAACCAUCCAGAUUAAGGUCAACAACUCCGUGAGCGUUCAGGUCGUUGCUCAGGACCCGAACGGUGACGUCAUCACCUACUCACUGCUGUCUCCCGCUCCUCCAGGGGCGACUGUUGGGAGUGUCAGUGGAAUUUUAAAAUGGACGCCCAACAGCGUUCAGCCGGUCCAGCUGACCAUCAAGGCCACUGGCUCGUCCACGAGCUCCUUGUUCACCCCCACCCUGCAGGUCUGCGGCUGCCUGAACGGAGGAACCUGCCUCUACGACAGCACUGCUGGAAGCUACCUGCAGGGAAAGUUUCAGGUUCUUGUGCUUUUUAAUUUCUGCUCAUUCUUCAGCGUUCCCUUCAGGAUUCUCGAUCGAUGAAGAACGACAUCUGAGCUUUGCUCUUUGCGUCUGACUCGCAGGUUGUUGGGUGUUUGUGCUCAAACAAAUACAGCGGGAGGUUUUGUGAGAACUCAGCAGAUGCAUGUCUGGGUAAACCCUGUUUUCGAGGGGUGCAGUGCAACUCCCAGUCUGGCCAGUUCACCUGCGGCCAGUGUCCUGCUAAUACUAUCACUAACGGCAUUGAGGGAUACAAAUGCUUUGACCACG